rnacentral:rRNA from 1 species
GGAAGCACCGGCUAACUCCGUGCCAGCAGCCGCGGUAAUACGGGGGGUGCAAGCGUUGUUCGGAAUUAUUGGGCGUAAAGCGCGUGUAGGCGGUCUGAUUAGUCUGAUGUGAAAGCCCUGGGCUCAACCCAGGAAGUGCAUUGGAUACUGUCAGACUUGAAUACGGGAGAGGGUAGUGGAAUUCCUAGUGUAGGAGUGAAAUCCGUAGAUAUUAGGAGGAACACCGGUGGCGAAGGCGGCUACCUGGACCGAUAUUGACGCUGAGACGCGAAAGCGUGGGUAGCAAACAGGAUUAGAUACCCUGGUAGUCCACGCCGUAAACGAUGAGAMCUAGRUGUCRCGGRUAACRGGYCGC